UACGUAGGGGGCAAGCGUUGUCCGGAAUCAUUGGGCGUAAAGCGCGUGUAGGCGGCCUUCUAAGUCUGCUGUGAAAGUCCAGGGCUCAACCCUGGGAUGUCAGUGGAUACUGGAAGGCUCGAGUCCGGAAGAGGCAAGUGGAAUUCCUGGUGUGGCGGUGAAAUGCGCAGAUAUCAGGAGGAACACCGGUGGCGAAGGCGGGUCUCUGGGCAGUAACUGACGCUGAGGAGCGAAAGCGUGGGGAGCGAACAGG
rnacentral:rRNA from 1 species